rnacentral:other from 1 species
GACAUUCUGCCUUGUGCGAGUAAGUGUGGUGUUUUAAAUCCGAACACAUUUAAAACGGGAACCGGUCGCCGCAUCAGGAUUGCAGACCUCCCGGCUUUGCCGGAAGAAGGGAGCGUGAGCGUUGCGGGAUGGUACCCACCUGCUGAGAAGCGGGUUUAUAUUCCAUGCGACGGCAAGGCGGGUCACUU